GGUUAAGCGACUAAGCGUACACGGUGGAUGCCCUGGCAGUCAGAGGCGAUGAAGGACGUGCUAAUCUGCGAUAAGCGUCGGUAAGGUGAUAUGAACCGUUAUAACCGGCGAUUUCCGAAUGGGGAAACCCAGUGUGUUUCGACACACUAUCAUUAACUGAAUCCAUAGGUUAAUGAGGCGAACCGGGGGAACUGAAACAUCUAAGUACCCCGAGGAAAAGAAAUCAACCGAGAUUCCCCCAGUAGCGGCGAGCGAACGGGGAGCAGCCCAGAGCCUGAAUCAGUGUGUGUGUUAGUGGAAGCGUCUGGAAAGGCGCGCGAUACAGGGUGACAGCCCCGUACACAAAAAUGCACAUGCUGUGAGCUCGAUGAGUAGGGCGGGACACGUGGUAUCCUGUCUGAAUAUGGGGGGACCAUCCUCCAAGGCUAAAUACUCCUGACUGACCGAUAGUGAACCAGUACCGUGAGGGAAAGGCGAAAAGAACCCCGGCGAGGGGAGUGAAAAAGAACCUGAAACCGUGUACGUACAAGCAGUGGGAGCACGCUUAGGCGUGUGACUGCGUACCUUUUGUAUAAUGGGUCAGCGACUUAUAUUCUGUAGCAAGGUUAACCGAAUAGGGGAGCCGAAGGGAAACCGAGUCUUAACUGGGCGUUAAGUUGCAGGGUAUAGACCCGAAACCCGGUGAUCUAGCCAUGGGCAGGUUGAAGGUUGGGUAACACUAACUGGAGGACCGAACCGACUAAUGUUGAAAAAUUAGCGGAUGACUUGUGGCUGGGGGUGAAAGGCCAAUCAAACCGGGAGAUAGCUGGUUCUCCCCGAAAGCUAUUUAGGUAGCGCCUCGUGAAUUCAUCUCCGGGGGUAGAGCACUGUUUCGGCAAGGGGGUCAUCCCGACUUACCAACCCGAUGCAAACUGCGAAUACCGGAGAAUGUUAUCACGGGAGACACACGGCGGGUGCUAACGUCCGUCGUGAAGAGGGAAACAACCCAGACCGCCAGCUAAGGUCCCAAAGUCAUGGUUAAGUGGGAAACGAUGUGGGAAGGCCCAGACAGCCAGGAUGUUGGCUUAGAAGCAGCCAUCAUUUAAAGAAAGCGUAAUAGCUCACUGGUCGAGUCGGCCUGCGCGGAAGAUGUAACGGGGCUAAACCAUGCACCGAAGCUGCGGCAGCGACGCUGAUGCGUUGUUGGGUAGGGGAGCGUUCUGUAAGCCUGCGAAGGUGUGCUGUGAGGCAUGCUGGAGGUAUCAGAAGUGCGAAUGCUGACAUAAGUAACGAUAAAGCGGGUGAAAAGCCCGCUCGCCGGAAGACCAAGGGUUCCUGUCCAACGUUAAUCGGGGCAGGGUGAGUCGACCCCUAAGGCGAGGCCGAAAGGCGUAGUCGAUGGGAAACAGGUUAAUAUUCCUGUACUUGGUGUUACUGCGAAGGGGGGACGGAGAAGGCUAUGUUGGCCGGGCGACGGUUGUCCCGGUUUAAGCGUGUAGGCUGGUUUUCCAGGCAAAUCCGGAAAAUCAAGGCUGAGGCGUGAUGACGAGGCACUACGGUGCUGAAGCAACAAAUGCCCUGCUUCCAGGAAAAGCCUCUAAGCAUCAGGUAACAUCAAAUCGUACCCCAAACCGACACAGGUGGUCAGGUAGAGAAUACCAAGGCGCUUGAGAGAACUCGGGUGAAGGAACUAGGCAAAAUGGUGCCGUAACUUCGGGAGAAGGCACGCUGAUAUGUAGGUGAAGUCCCUUGCGGAUGGAGCUGAAAUCAGUCGAAGAUACCAGCUGGCUGCAACUGUUUAUUAAAAACACAGCACUGUGCAAACACGAAAGUGGACGUAUACGGUGUGACGCCUGCCCGGUGCCGGAAGGUUAAUUGAUGGGGUUAGCCGCAAG
rnacentral:rRNA from 1 species